GAUGAACGCUAGCGGGAGGCCUAACACAUGCAAGCCGAGCGGUAUGGAUAGCUUGCUAUCCAGAGAGCGGCGUACGGGUGCGUAACACGUGUGCAACCUACCUUUAUCUGGGGGAUAGCCUUUCGAAAGGAAGAUUAAUACCCCAUAAUAUAAUGAUUGGCAUCAAUUAUUAUUGAAAACUCCGGUGGAUAGAGAUGGGCACGCGCAAGAUUAGAUAGUUGGUGAGGUAACGGCUCACCAAGUCAAUGAUCUUUAGGGGUCCUGAGAGGGAGAUCCCCCACACUGGUACUGGGACACGGACCAGACUCCUACGGGGGGCAGCAGUGGGGAAUAUGGGACAAGGGGUGGGGGCCUGAUCCAGCCACCCCGCGUGAAGGAUGACGGCCCUAUGGAUUGAAAACUUUUUUUUUACAGGGAAAACCCUCCCCCCGGGAGGGUAGCUGAAGGUACUGUACGAAAAAGCACCGGCUAACUCCGU
rnacentral:rRNA from 1 species